GAUGAACGCUGGCGGCGUGCCUAACACAUGCAGGUCGAACGAAGCACCUUACCUGAUUCUUCGGAUGAAAGUUUGGUGACUGAGUGGCGGACGGGUGAGUAACGCGUGGGUAACCUGCCCUGUACAGGGGGAUAACAGCUGGAAACGGCUGCUAAUACCGCAUAAGCGCACGAGGAGACAUCUCCUUGUGUGAAAAACUCCGGUGGUACAGGAUGGGCCCGCGUCUGAUUAGCUGGUUGGCAGGGUAACGGCCUACCAAGGCAACGAUCAGUAGCCGGUCUGAGAGGAUGAACGGCCACAUUGGAGCUGAGACACGGUCCAAACUCCUACGGGAGGCAGCAGUGGGGAAUAUUGCACAAUGGGGGAAACCCUGAUGCAGCAACGCCGCGUGAGUGAAGAAGUAUUUCGGUAUGUAAAGCUCUAUCAGCAGGGAAGAUAAUGACGGUACCUGACUAAGAAGCUCCGGCUAAAUACGUG
rnacentral:rRNA from 1 species